CAUAUCUCAAAUGGCAUUGGAGUGAUCGGUAAAGUUGAUGUCCUGUGACCCGGAGGUUACAAGUUCAAGCCAUGGAAACAGCCUCAUGCGUAAAUGCAAAGUAAGGCUGUAGUAAGGUUGUGUACAAUAAACUGUUGUAGUUUGGUCCUUCGCCGGAUCCCUGUAUGUAGCAACAACUUUAGUGCAUCAGACUGUUGUAGUUUGGUCCUUCGCCGGAUCCCUGUAUGUAGCAACAACUUUAGUGCAUCAGACUGUCUUUUUUCCCCAUUUUGUUGGAAUAUGCUGGGCAUGUUGUUGUGUCCUCAUAGGAAUGCAGAAGACAAUUUUCUGCUCACUCCCUCUUCUUCAUUCUCUCUCUUUUUCCCCUUUUUACUCUCUUUUUGCUUCAAUUCAAAGAUAAAAAUCUUCAACUGUUUUAAUCGUAUUAAAAGACCGAAAUGACUUAUUUGUAAAAUAAUCAGAUGAAAAAUAGCAGAGAUUAGGGAGAUUUGGUUUUGUAACCGUUAAUUAAUUUAUUUGUAGUUUUAUAUCAAUUUAUAAGUGGCCAUAAGAAGAAAUCAUUUCCACAAGAGAUAUGGUUGUGAUUGAUAUGAAUGUUUUUUUAUGAAAGAAGUUACUUGCUGGAAUAUAAUUUACUAGGAGAACUUUAUUUUGCUUUUGCAGGUAUUAUGUUUGCCCCAAAUAUAGUGCGAAGUGCGAAUUUAUAGCAAGUAGAUGAUGAAUCAAAAGAUGGAAAUUGAGGCGUUGAUAUUACCUAUACUUUUGGGAUUGAGGACAAAUUUAUCCCUUACAAACUUGUGACAUCAUUUUUACUAGAGAAAAUGAAGGGAAAAUUACAAGAUUCACUUGCUGCUAUGGUUUCAAUCACCAUAAUAACAAGCGAACCUUCUAAUUUUCCCUUCCUUCUUUUCAAUGGCUCUUUAGAUUCUCGUAAAAAUAAUGUCACAAAAUUUUUGAGGGCUAAAUCUGUCCAAUUCCAAAAGUAUAGGCAAUAUCAACUACCUCAUUCCAUAUUUUGAUUCACCAUCUCCUUUAUGAUAGUGUUUCAUUCGACUACUUGCAGCAAUUGACAAUGCUCUAGCAAAGAUAGGAGUAAGGAAAGUUUUUGUAGUUCCUUCGAUAUUUGCGGUGAAACAUGUUUGGAUAUGUAAAGUAGGUUUUGCUAGCUUAUUUGAGCUGGGCUAAGAAACCUUAUUUUUAAAUAGACACUAAAUUUUUUUAACCAAAUUCUAUUAAAUUAUAGGCUCAAUUGAAUCCAUCUAGUGGACUCCAUAUUGUAGUAGCAUCAUGUUUGUCUUUGUAUUAGUCGUACACGUAGCUUCUUCCUUUUUAAUAUAUCUACCAUUCAUUGUCUAUUAUAUUUCAAUUAUCACAUUAUUAUUACUCUUUUUUUUUAUUAUUAUUUUAAAAGAAUUAAGAAAAAAAUGCUGAUAUUGCUCUCAACUUUACAAUUUAAACCCCAUUUAGAUAGAAUUAAAAUCUAAUCAAAUCAACUUUUAAUCUCUUAUUUAAUUUUUUAAUGUGUUUGAUAAAACUAAAAAGUGCUUAAAAAAAGCUAAAAACUGAUUAAUAAAAUAAAAAAGUGAGAAGUUGGGUACCCUCAAUUUUUUGCUUUUUAGAUUAAAAUUCUUUUAGGCUUGAUCAAAAUAUUUACCUUUUUAUUCCUUAUAUUUUCCUCCAAUUCUAACAAUACCUCGAAUUUGUAGCCCUUAAAUAUAUUAUUUUUUCUUUCUAUUCAUCUUUCUUUUUUAUUUUCAACGAAUCCAUUAUUAAUUGUAGAUUUGUUCAAAAAUUUUAUUUUAAAAUUAAAAAUUAAAAAUAAGUCACCUUAUUUAUGGUAUUAAUAAUUUUAAGGAUAUUUAAGUUAUUUAAACAAUAAAAAUAUCAAAUAUAUCAGCAACUUUUUUUCAAUUUCAGUACUUCUAUCCAAACACUUAUCUACUUAAUUUAUAAACACUUAUUUUAUUUUAAACUUUUAGUCAUUAAAGCUAAAAAAAAUUAAUUUUUUAGUCUUUAUCCAAAUGCGCUCUAACAGUAGUAAUAUAGCCCUCGUUAUAUUAUAUCUUCACUGUCCAACAACAAAAUAGAGCACAUGGCCGACGAAGGGCAAUAUAGUAAACUUACCUUAGUUUCUCCAGUAUACUCAUAAACGGGCUUUCAUAAACCUUAAGCAAGUGAAACAUAGGGGUUUUUCUUCUUUGAAUAUCGGCUGUUUAUACAAAGAGAAGAAGAAGAAGAAGAAGUAGUUGGACAAAAAUGGUUAGGUUAACGGCAGACCUGAUUUGGAAAAGCCCGCAUUUCUUCAACGCCAUUCGCGAACGCGAGUUAGAUCUUCGAGGUUCCUCUUCUUCUUCUUCAACCCUAAUUGUUUUUUUUUUCAAUUCCAAUUUUAACCCUCGUGAAGGAAAAGGCUUAAUGUUUUAUUUGCACUUUGUUGUUUAUGUACAGGCAAUAAGAUUCCUGUUAUUGAGAACUUAGGUGCUACUGAGGUUAGUUUUUUUUUUUUUUUUUUUUUGAGUUGGGAUUAUUUUAGUUAUGUGGAGGUUGAUUUGUUUUGGUUACAGGAUCAAUUUGAUACGAUUGAUUUAUCUGAUAAUGAGAUUGUUAAACUUGAGAAUUUUCCGUAUCUGAAUCGACUUGGAACCUUGUUAAUGAACAACAAUAGAGUUACGCGUAUCAAUCCCAACAUUGGAGGUGACACAUUAUACUGUUGGAGUAUUUAUGUUCCAUUUUAAUCCUAGGUCUAUUUGUUUUAGAGUUGAAUGGUCAAGAACACUCGUAAAGUAUCCCGGUUUUUUGAGGUUCAUAACCGAACUAUCAGGUGUGCGCGCGUGUAAGUUUGCUACUUCAAGUAUCAAUGAUUUCACUUCUUCUACCUGAAUGAUGGUUAUAUUUCUGUAUGAAAAGUGAAUAAUUGAUAGUUGAUGAUAGUUCAGAUAGGAAACAAACCGGGAUACUUUUGGUGUGAUUUUGACCAUUAGCUCAUUAUUUUAUUAGGGUUCUUAUUUAACAUGAUGUUUGUUCAUGUUGCAGAGUUUUUGCCGAAAUUGCAUACCUUGAUUCUUACUAGCAACAGACUUACGAAUUUGGUUGAAAUUGAUCCGCUAGCGUCUCUCCCAAAGCUGAAGUUUCUUAGUCUGCUUGAUAACAAUAUCACAAAGAGACCAAAUUAUCGCCUUUAUGUUAUUCACAAAUUGAAGUCCUUGCGUUUGUUGGAUUUCAGGAAAGUCAAACAAAUGGUUGGUUUUGUUGUUCCUUCCAUCUCUUCAUUUGAAUGAUAUAGGGAACUGUCAAGUGUCAAACACGUUCAUAGUUCGGCUUCUGGUUUUGGUUAACUUUGUCCUCCCAUUUGGAUUGAACUAGGGCGCCGUCCAGAGUUUGCUCAAAUAUGCAAGAAAUUGUAUAAAAUUAAUUACAUAUCUUGCGGUCGAAUUAAAAAAGAAACAUUGAAUGGGUUCCCAAUCUUGAAGAAUGCUAUAAGCCUUUUCUUCUUUGUUUACAGAAGCUCCUUUAAUUAAGUGGGAGGUGUUCAGCAUGUUGUCUGAAGUAGUUGCACAAGAUAGCACCAAGCUUGCCUUCAUAGAUAAAUGACAGACCUUGUAAAUCUCUUUGCUAGAAUUUGAAAUGGAAGUGGAGUUGACAAGACGUUACAUUCCUUGAAUAGGUCAAACCCCAAGAUAAGUCGUGCCUAAAUGAAAAAUGUGUAGGUUUAUGGAUCUGUCUAUAUAUUUGACUUUAAAUGAAAUUUUAUCGUUUUUAAGAAGUAUGUAAUUUUUUUCUUAAAGCAGAGGCCAUGACUAGCUCUCUUCAUAUAGAUGUUGAUUAUGAGGUCGCCAACAUUAAGUGUUCUUGUUUUGAGAUAUUCUGAGAUUUGACGCACAAUGUUGACAUGUAUAAUGUUAAUACACACUCUUGCUUCUCUAACACAGCUAUUUUCUCCAGCAAAAAAUGUAUACUCGCUCAUCUCUUCAUUCACGGAUGCUCUAUAAAUAACUGGUUUCUGAUUUCAUGCUAGAAUUUCUGGGGCAUGUUCUUAAAAUUUGUUCUUGGGUAUGUUCUUUAAAUUUGUCGUAAGUGCGGUAUAUUAACCUUGAUUUUGUACGCCAUGCUAUAGAAGCUGGUGUUGCAUAUGGCUUUAUGAUUAACAAAUCCAAAUGUUACAUUUUCUCCUUUUUGGUUGGGGGUGGGAGAGGAAGCACCCAUAAAGUUACUUUAAACAGCUGUGUAUUGAGCCGUCGGAUCUAAUUUUGUUGCUAUAGGAGAGAUUGGAAGCAAGUAAAUUAUUUGCAUCACAAGAAGCUGAAGAGCUGGUCAAAAAGGAGUCAGUGAAGACUUCUGUACCUGUUGAGGUUGCGGCUCCUGCCGAGGAACCAAAGGAAGAUCAACCACCUAAGCCAGCUGGUCCUACACCCGAGCAAAUUAUAGCAAUUAAGGUACAACAUAUCAUUUAUCAGUUGCUGUUUCUUCUUACCCAUUCUUUCUUCCGCUUCUUUGAACACAUUUUUAAGGAUUAGGAUGAUGGAACAGAUUGUUUGGGUAGGUUGGCAAUUGGUCCCAUGAAAUAUGGAUAGGACCAACCUGCCUGAUCUAGAAAACAUGGAUAGGACCAAUGUAUUCACUGUCUAUGUACGAGAGGUCAAUUACUCAGUAUCUGCUUUAUGUUUGGGUUGUUUUUGGCUGGACUUCAGUUGUAAUUGCCCUCACCACCACUGCACACACAUACAAACAAAAUAAAAAUACUCUUUGUACAGCUUUAUGGAAUAGUUCUCUGCCCUUAUAAAGAUCACAAUCAACUAGUUUCAGCAACAAAUGAAAUAUUUUUUAAGAAGAUGUACUGGUUAACAAAAGCAAUCUUUAUUACUUAUAAUAUGUAGGUCAUAUAGAGAGAAACAAUUAGAAAAAAAGCUAUAUAUUGAAUUAUAGAAGCACAGUACCUUCUGUGUAUGGGGCUUACUUAUUGCAAUCUUUUUAGAAAACUCAUCAGCCUCUUGCAGUGACUUGGGGUCAGAAUUAAAUAGUUGGCUUUUUUAUUCUAAUAGGAGCACCCCAUGUCCAGUGGAAUUUCUUGCUUAUGUCAGUGAAGCGUCGCCAAAGGGAGGCUAGAAGGAGCUUAUACUUAUUGGCCUUGACGCAUUAUGCUUUUCUCAUUAAUUAUGAAACUGAAUUUGGUAUAUGUAUGAAUUUCUUGAUUAUAGAACUGUACAUGGUAAACUGAAGCAUGCCGAAUGACUCACCUAUCACGGAUUGGGAAAAGAGGACCAAAUCCAGAUGUAAAUAGGACUGCCAUUUCC
rnacentral:lncRNA from 1 species